rnacentral:rRNA from 1 species
AGCGAACGCUGGCGGCAGGCCUAACACAUGCAAGUCGAACGAAGUCUUCGGACUUAGUGGCGGACGGGUGAGUAACACGUGGGAACGUGCCUUUAGGUUCGGAAUAACUCAGGGAAACUUGUGCUAAUACCGAAUGUGCCCUUCGGGGGAAAGAUUUAUCGCCUUUAGAGCGGCCCGCGUCUGAUUAGCUCGUUGGUGAGGUAAAGGCGCACCAAGGCGACGAUCAGUAGCUGGUCUGAGAGGAUGAUCAGCCACAUUGGGACUGAGACACGGCCCAAACUCCUACGGGAGGCAGCAGUGGGGAAUCUUGCGCAAGGGGCGAAAGCAGGACGGAGCCAGGCCGCGUGAAUGAUGAAGGUCUUAGGAUUGUAAAAUUCUUUCACCGGGGACGAUAAUGACGGUACCCGGAGAAGAAGCCCCGGCUAACUUCGUGCCAGCCGCCGCCGUAACAC